rnacentral:lncRNA from 1 species
AACCAAUUUACAAAAGAGGAUGGCAACAGGAAGCAAAGGAAACAAAAAAAAGGAGUGUCAAUGUGAAUGGAGUUAGAAGGAGCGUUCAAGAUGCGGAUGGAGAUAGAUGGAAAGUUGGAUGACAAGUGGGAGUAAGCUUGUCAUUGUUUUUCUUGUUAAUUUAGUUGCAUAAAGAAAUGAGAUCAAGUGCAAGGUUGUUGAUGCCUUUUAUUUUUUUAAUGAAAUUGCAUAUAUAUUAUAGUUGUAAGAAAGAAGGAGUAUGCUGCUUGGAUUGGUGGAAGGAAUUGUUGGACUCAUACAAAGAUGGAAAGGUGUGUUGUUUGUUAGAUUAUGUGUAUAUUAAUUUUAUUUUGGAUUAAAGGUGUCUUCAAUAAUGGUCAUGCUAUAUUUUUUCACGAGUAUGGCUCAUUAGAUGUGAUGUAUUGAUUCGUUACUACUUUGGCCGAACCAUAUUCAUGUGGUUCCUCACAUUUUUAAUUGCAAUAUUUUUAUAUAGACUUUUACAUAAUCUGUCUCCCAAAUCGUAAACAAACCUUGUUAGUUAUUUUAUCGAAACAUGUAUUCUUUAUACAAUAAACACAUGUAGAUGGAACAAUUGUCUUGGUUAACCAUUGAUCAAUCCAUAAUGCGAACAAAUAAAAAACUAAAAAUAUUUUUAGCAUGUCUAAACUGUACUCUGACAUGACACCUAUUUACACCGUGAAACCCAUAGCUCACAGUAGAGCACAAACAUGUCUAUUAUUUCAAACACAAGUCCUACGUUAUGCACACCAAUUUUUAUUCAUGUGUUUACACAAAACUGCCAAACUCCAUAUGCAUCUUCAUUGGAUAGUCACAAUUUCCUGGCUUAUUAACUUUGUUUCAUCUUCUCAUUUAUAAGAUUUUCAUCUUCAUUUCUUAUUUGAAAUCCCGCAAUUAAGAUACAAAUUUACCCCCAGUUUCAACAUAUUUUUUAUAUAAUAAUAUUCAGAUUGGUAAUGAACUCACCUGUUUGCAUCCAUGUUUGCAUCAUCGUUGGCUAGGAACCCAUCGAAGGAAGUAAACUUUUCUGCUUCACGCAUGCAUUUCGUAAUUUUUUUAGACUUACUUGAUUCCUUGACGAUUGUCAUGGCUUUUCCCAUGAGCAUCCUUGCAUUCAAAUUCUUCAUGCUUGAAUCACCCUUCUCUUCGUAAGGUUUUUAUUUUUUUUCCUUUAUAACUUUCGCUUCUUCCUGCCAUGUUGCUCCUCGUUUCUGGUUUUGUCAAAUGAAGAGUUGCACCCACGAAUAUAUUACAGUGUAACCUAUACAUGCAGCCAUUGAGACUUAUUUACUAUUUAAGGACACCAUUACUUGUCACACCCACGUUGCAACUACAGGCAUGCAACAACAAUGAUCAGUGUGACCAUUGGCAUGGCCAUGCAGCGGCACAGGACCAAGCCGUGCUCACAGACGCACACAGCGGCAAAGCAUCAAGCGACAAAUGACCAACGUGACCAUUCACACGCACAUGUAGCGGCACAAGACCAAGCCGUGCUCACGAGCGCACACAGCGGCAAAGCAUCAAGCAGCACCACAUCUCUAGAACCCAUGCAAAGGCGUAUACCAAGCACAAGGUAGCUAUAUCUAUGUAUAUCUCCCUCAUUAAAUUGUAGUAGUUCUGAUGAGUUUAAGCAGUUUGUUCUUCUUCUUCGUAACUCAUCCUUCCCGAUCUCAUUUGUAUCUCACUUUGACACAAGAAAAUUUGUUUCCUUCAUCCACAAAAUCAAACAUGGCUAAGCCCCCCAGUCUAUAUGGCAAGGCGCACUAGGAGU